CCCCGCCGCCUGUGUCGUAAAGACCCUUCCCUUCUCGCUGCCUGUCCCCUUGCCUUGCGGAGGACUUUGCCGGAUUUAGGGUUCGAGUCCUAAUGGCAGAUGUAGGGGUGUGAGAUCGUUCGCUCCACAGCGGACAGAGGGGGGGAAAACGUAAAUAAACCCAAAGGAGCCGGCGGCCCCAGGGGAGCCUGGGCCGUUUUAGAGUGGGGCAGCCCCUGUGGUCAGGUCAUUUUGUAGUUCUUGCACCAGGACGAGGCCGGGUUCAGAGACCCGCGGGCCGCCGUUCUCGUGCACGUGGUCGGAGCUCCUGCCUUCGGAUUCGGCUGAGGACACAAGCAUAGAAGACGCUCCACGGCUGAACGCUCCGGUUAAAGGGCACAUUGUGGUCUAAUUUGACUUGACUAACUCAGAGCUACGGUAAAAUCUCCAUAGGCAGGAAUUCUAGGAAUUGUUUUAAAUAUAUAUAUAUUUUUUUGCAGAUGGUUCUCCAGAGGACAUUUUAAAAACACACACACAUGGACUUUGGUGGCCAGUAGGAUUUGUCACUCAGUGAUCAAGACAGCUAACUCUAAGGCAGUGGUUCUCUAAGCGCGCUUCCCAGGCCAGCUGCGUCGACCUCACCUUUGAACUUGCAGAAAUGGAAAGUCACAGGACACACAGAAGACUGAAUUCCAAGGCAUCUAUGAGAAUUGCUUAGGACGGUGGUACUAAAACUUCAGUGUGCAUUAUUAGAAUCAUCCAAAGAGCCCCUCUAGGAAUGACAGGUCAGUAAGCCUCAGGUGAACCCUGGGAUCUAUGGCUUUAACAAGCUCACAGGUGAGUCUGAUGUAUACCAGAAUUUGAGAACAGCUGACUUAGGAUGUGUUAGGAUCCUGACAAAUACUACUUACCCCUCCCUUCAUGCUUCUUUUGUAAAGUUAUCCCCCUGUAUUUGUAAAUCAUGAUUUUGUUCACAUUUGGUACCCCAUGUCACGGAAAGAAGUGAGGAGACUGGGAGCUGAGAGUCUUGGAUUCCAUUCCUUGCUCUCGUUGAACCUGCCCAUCACCUUGAGCGGCUGACUCUCUUCUCAUUUCAGGGCUUCCGUUUUUUAGCUAGAUGAGGGAAAUCCUAUGUCUCCCCCUGAACCUGGUGAAAGGCCGUUGGUAGAUCGCUUGGAGUUCUUCAGGCAAGUUUAUACUAAAGUCAGGGCAGCUCAAGGUGGCUUUAGACACAACAGCAAGGACAAGAGCAGGCACAUCCCUCGAGUGCAGGUUUCCUCCGAGAUCACCUCCGAGCCUGUCUCCGCACUGGUGCUGAAUUAUCUCGACCAAAGUUCACAAAUAGUAUGACAGUCUCUAGUCUCUCUCACUUCAAAAGAAUAGGCAACAGGCAAUAGGGAAGACUGUAGGGUGCCCUUGGCCAAACAAGAAUUGGGGUUAUUUCUCAGGACUCAAUAACCUUGUGUGAAAAUUCAGGACGGUGGGUGAAAGAGCAAAGGAGGGGUAAGAACUCAGGCAGCCCGACAGCUGGCCACUGCCUUGUGUCUAGAGAUCAUGUUUAAGGGACUUCUCAGCCAAUAAGCUAGAAGGAGUCUCUUGGUAGUUUUGAUCGAACAGCUUCUAUACUUCGGGUCUGCUAAGAAUUCUGGCCACUCCGUGUUCUAUUUUAAAGUUUCCUUAGCUUAUUUAAAACAUUGCAUAAAUAGCCUUACUGGGUUUUAUGUAGAAGCGUAUUAAUGACCACACAACUUUUUAACUAAUAAAUGCCCUAAAAUUUUA